rnacentral:ncRNA from 2 species
CAUACUUAUUUUUGCUCAGGUGCUUUGGAUUUUAUCAAAGCUGAAAAGGGAACCGGGUGCAAAUCCCGGACGGUCCGGCCACUGUGAAUGGUUAGCUGUCCCCCAUUAUGUCACUGUUCUACUCUGUCACUUAAAAGAGUGCCGGAAGGGAUGGGAAGGCGGGGGGAUGGCAAUGAGCCAUGAGUCAGGAGACCUGCCCGGGCAGAACAGUACAA